GAUGAAGAACGUAGCAAAAUGCGAUAAGUAAUGUGAAUUGCUGAAUUCAGUGAAUCAUCGAAUCUUUGAACGCACAUUGCGCCCGCUGGUAUUCCGGCGGGCAUGCCUGUUCGAGCGUCAUUUCAACCCUCAAGCCCCCGGGUUUGGUGUUGGGGAUCGGCUCUGCCCUUCUGGGCGGUGCCGCCCCCGAAAUACAUUGGCGGUCUCGCUGCAGCCUCCAUUGCGUAGUAGCUAACACCUCGCAACUGGAACGCGGCGCGGCCAUGCCGUAAAACCCCAACUUCUGAAUGUUGACCUCGGAUCAGGUAGGAAUACCCGCUGAACUUAAGCAUAUCAAUAAGCGGAGGA
rnacentral:misc_RNA from 1 species